CAUCAUCACCCAAAAUGUUCGCACUUUAGCUGCGCAUAGGGUCAGCAAUCGCUCAUAAGAUAAAUAGAUAAGUAAGAAAACAGCAGACACGAAUAUACUUGAACAGUUUUUAUGAGUUUGGUAAAGUUCUAGGAUGAUGCAGUUUGAAGGUCCGAGCCACAAAAACUGAUGAAGUAGAUUUACCAUGAAUAAAGUGGAAUGCAAAGUGUAUAAUCAACAUAAAAGUUGUGGUUAAAAAGGGAUAGUUGGCAAAGAGAGUGGCUAUCCAUAAUUACCUAAACUACAAAGGCCGACGGACAAUAGAAACUUAAGCAAGUACAUUAUCAUCUGAUCGCAAUGCAAGUGUACUAUUUAUGUAAAUAAAUUAAACAAACUUAGUCUCAAACUAGGUGGAAUCAAGAAACUUCAUCUCAUCUAAAGGGAACCAGAAAGAGUAUGGCCGUCAAACCACGUACAGGUCAAGGAAUUAUCUGUGUUCAAUAGAAAUCAUUAGGUCUAGCAUGGAAGGUGCAAGAAGACAACAUUUUUUAUUAAAAAAAGAAAAAAAUAUGAAAAAAUGUUAGAAAAAAAGAAAAAGAAAAGAAAGGAAUGGCUUCCAGUAAUAAAGAACACAAAGCUAUAUCCACUACAGGCCUGACACAAGUCAAUUCUUGUAUAAAAAUAAAUGGAGCCUAUUUGGAAGCCAAAAAAGGAAUCAUGUUUAGCCUACGAGAAGUGAGUCCUAAGAA
rnacentral:lncRNA from 1 species